UCUGGAGAUCUCGAGUAAGCGCAGCGCUUCGGUGUCUGCGUCGAAAGAGUCUCAGAAGUCGCCCGCACCUAUCUCACUCACCUCACUUCUCCUGCUCUUUGACAAUCGAUGAUGGAUGGUGUGUGGACGAGCUCGUCAGAGCUGGUCCAGUGUGAGGGAAUCAACACCGGUGUCUCACGCGCAUCGCGUGCGUGAGAGACACGAAUUUGAGAUCAAACGCAAUAAGGCACACGGUGGAUGCCUUGGCAUCGAGAGGCGAUGAAGGACGUGCUAAGCUGCGAUAAGCCUGGGGGAGUCGCACAGAGACCGUGAUCCCAGGAUGU
rnacentral:misc_RNA from 1 species